rnacentral:misc_RNA from 1 species
GAUGAAGAACGCAGCGAAAUGCGAUAAGUAGUGUGAAUUGCAGAAUUCAGUGAAUCAUCGAAUCUUUGAACGCACAUUGCGCCCGCCAGUAUUCUGGCGGGCAUGCCUGUUCGAGCGUCAUUUCAACCCUCAAGCUCAGCUUGGUGUUGGGACUCGCGGUAACCCGCGUUCCCCAAAUCGAUUGGCGGUCACGUCGAGCUUCCAUAGCGUAGUAAUCAUACACCUCGUUACUGGUAAUCGUCGCGGCCACGCCGUAAAACCCCAACUUCUGAAUGUUGACCUCGGAUCAGGUAGGAAUACCCGCUGAACUUAAGCAUAUCAAUAAGCGGAGGA